CCUACGGGUGGCAGCAGUAGGGAAUAUUGCUCAAUGGGGGAAACCCUGAAGCAGCAACGCCGCGUGGGGGAUGAAGGUUUUCGGAUUGUAAACCCCUUUUGUUAGAGAAGAUAAUGACGGUAUCUGACGAAUAAGCACCGGCUAACUCCGUGCCAGCAGCCGCGGUAAUACGGAGGGUGCAAGCGUUACUCGGAAUCACUGGGCGUAAAGAGCGCGUAGGCGGGAUAGCAAGUCAGAUGUGAAAACCUAGGGCUUAACCAUAGAACUGCAUUUGAAACUGUUAGUCUGGAGUAGGGGAGAGGUAGGUGGAAUUCUUGGUGUAGGGGUAAAAUGCGUAGAGAUCAAGAGGAAUACUGAUUGCGAAGGCGACCUGCUGGAACAUAACUGACGCUGAUGCGCGAAAGCGUGGGGAGCAAACAGGAUUAGAUACCCGUGUAGUC
rnacentral:rRNA from 1 species